rnacentral:ncRNA from 1 species
AACCACGGACGACCGUGGCUUCGAACGAAUAAAGCGGGACGGCCCGC